rnacentral:tRNA from 33 species
GGAAAGAGAGGGAUUCGA